rnacentral:rRNA from 1 species
AUUGAACGCUGGCGGCAGGCCUAACACAUGCAAGUCGAACGAGUGGCGGACGGGUGAGUAAUGUCUGGGAAACUGCCUGAUGGAGGGGGAUAACUACUGGAAACGGUAGCUAAUACCGCAUACCAUCAGAUGUGCCCAGAUGGGAUUAGCUAUGUGGGGGGGUAAAGGCGCACCAAGGCGACGAUCCCUAGCUGGUCUGAGAGGAUGACCAGCCACACUGGAACGGAGACACGGUCCAGACUCCUACGGGAGGCAGCAGUGGGGAAUAUUGCACAAUGUGCGCAAGCCUGAUGCAGCCAUGCCGCGUGUAUGAAGAAGGCCUUCGGGUUGUAAAGUACUUUCAGCGGGGAGGCGUUACCCGCAGAAGAAGCACCGGCUAACUCCGUGCCAGCAGCCGCGGUAAUUC